AUGUCUAAGGGACUUGUGGUUGGUAUUGAUCUUGGCACCACCUACUCUUGUGUGGGUGUCUUCCAGCAUGGAAAAGUAGAGAUAAUUGCUAAUGAUCAGGGAAACCGAACCACUCCAAGUUAUGUUGCUUUUACUGACACUGAACGAUCGGUGAUGCUGCGAAAAAUCAAGUUGCAAUGAACCCCACAAACAUGGUUUUUGAUGCCAAGCGUCUGAUUGGAUGCAGGUUUGAUGAUGCUGUUGUCCAGUAUGAUAUGAAACAUUGGCCUUUCGUGAUGGUGAAUGAUGUAGGCAGGCCCAAGGUCCAAAUAGAAUACAAAGGAGAGACAAAAUGUUUCUAUCCAGAGGAGGUGUCAUCCAUGGUUCCGACAAAGAUGAAGGAAAUUGCAGAAGCCUAUCUUGGAAAGACUGUUACCAAUGCUGUGGUCACAGUACAAGCUUACUUCAAUGAUUCUCAGCGUCAGGCUACCAAAGAUGCUGGAACUAUUGCUGGUCUCAAUGUUCUUAGGAUUAUAAACGAACCAACUGCUGCUGCUGUUGCUUAUGGCUUAGACAAAAAGGUUGGAGCUGAAAGAAAUGUGCUAAUUUUUGACCUUGGAGGUGGCACUUUUGAUGUGUCAAUCCUCACUAUUGAGGAUGGAAUCUUUGAGGUCAAAUCUACAGCUGGAGAUACUCACUUGGGUGGAGAAGACGUUGACAACCGAAUGGUCAACCAUUUUAUUGCUGAGUUUAAGCGCAAACCUAAGAAGGACAUCAGUGAGAAUAAAAGAGCUGUCUGUCGCCUCCGCACUGCUUGCGAACGUGCUAAGCGUACCCUAUCUUCCAGCACCCAGGCCAGUAUUGAGAUAGAUUCCCUUUAUGAAGGAAUCGACUUCCAUACCUCCAUUAUCCGUGCCCAAUUUGAAGAAUUGCUGAUCUGUUCCGUGGCAACCUGGACCCUGUAGAGAAAGCCCUUCAAGAUGCCAAACUUGACAAGUCACAGAUUCAUGACAUUGCCCUCGUUGGUGGCUCUACCCGUAUCCCCAAGAUUCAAAAGCUUCUCCAAGAUUUCUUCAAUGGAAAAGAACUGAAUAAGAGCAUCAACCCCGAUGAGGCUGUUGCUUACAGUGCAGCUGUACAGGUGGCCAUCCUAUUUGGUGUCAAAUCCGAGAAUGUUCAAGAUUUGCUACUAUUGGAUGUCACUCCUCUUUCUCUGGGUAUUGAGACUACUGGUGGAGUUAUGACUGUGCUCAUUAAGCACAAUACUACUAUUCCUACCAAGCAGACACAGACUUUCCUUACCUACUCUGACAACCAGCCGGGUGUGCUCGUCCAGGUUUAUGAAGGUGAGCAUACCAUGACCAAGGAUAACAAGUUGCUUGGCAAGUUUGAACGUAAUUACAGGCAUACCUCCUGCUCCCUGUGGUGUUCCUCAGAUUGAAGUCACUUUUGAUAUUGAUGCCAAUGGCAUUCUCAAUGUCUCUGCUGUGGAUAAGAAUACCGGAAAAGAAAAUAAGAUUACCAUCACUAAUGACAAGGGAUGUUUGAGCAAGGAAGAUACUGAACAUAUGGUCCAGGAAGCUGAGAAGUACAAGGCAGAAGAUGAGAAGCAGAGGAACAAGGUUUCUUCAAAUAAUUCAUUUGAGUCCUAUGCAUUCAACGUGAAAGCAACUGUUGAAGAUGAGAAACUUCAAGGCAAGAUCAAUGAUGAGGACAAACAGAAGAUUCUUGACAAGUGUAAUAAGAACCAGACUUGAUAAGAACCAGACUGCAGAGAAGGAAGAAGAUGAACAUCAGCAGAAGGAGCUGGACAAAGUCUGCAACCCCAUCAUUACUAAGUUGUACCAGAGUGCGGGGGGCAUGCCAGGAGGAAUGCUUGGGGGCUUCCCUGAUGGUGGUGCUCCUCCCUCUGGUGGUGCUUCCUCUGGCCCCACCAUUGAAGAGGUUGAUUAAGCCAGCCCGAGUAUAGAUGUAGCAUUGUUCCACACAGUGAAAUAUUGAAGGAUCCAAAUUUGUAGCAAAUUAUGUGGCAGAUUUAAAGUUGGGCUGCUAUAGUGAAUUACUGGGCAUUCUCUAUACUUGUAUGUGGAACAUGUGCACAGGGGAAAUAACAUUGCACUUUAAAAGUACUGUAUUGUAAGUGGAAAAUGCAAUGUCUUAAAUAAAGCUGUAUUUAAAAUUGGCACCAUAAAAAAAAA